rnacentral:rRNA from 1 species
UACAGAGGUCCCAAGCGUUGUUCGGAUUCACUGGGCGUAAAGGGUGCGUAGGUGGUGGGGUAAGUCGGAUGUGAAAUCUCCGGGCUCAACCCGGAAAUGGCAUUGGAAACUGCCUUGCUAGAGGGUUUGAGGGGGGACUGGAAUACUUGGGGCAGCAGUGAAAUGCGUAGAUAUCAAGUGGAACACCAGUGGCGAAGGCGAGUCCCUGGAAAACACCUGACACUGAGGCACGAAAGCUAGGGGAGCAAACAGG